UACAGAGGUCCCAAGCGUUGUUCGGACUCAUUGGGCGUAAAGGGUGCGUAGGUGGCGCCGUAAGUGGGGUGUGAAAUUUCGGAGCUUAACUCCGAAACUGCAUUCCAUACUGCGGUGCUUGAGGACUGGAGAGGAGACUGGAAUUCAUGGUGUAGCAGUGAAAUGCGUAGAGAUCAAUGAGGAAGACCAGUGGCGAAGGCGGGUCUCUGGACAGUUCCUGACACUGAGGCACGAAGGCCAGGGGAGCAAACGGG
rnacentral:rRNA from 1 species